rnacentral:tRNA from 1 species
GCAAUAGCUCAGUUGAUAGAGCAUGAGCCCAUUAAUCUCAGGGUUGUGGGUCUGAGCCCCACAUUGAGCA